UCAUAAUAAAAACAUUUUUCAUUAUCAUUAUUUUCAUCAUUAUCCACAAGACUUCCAGUAGUAGUGUUUGUUUUGUUGAUUUAUUGUGUGAAUAGACUACGACGAAAUGUAUUUGAAGCUGUGUGUAUUAAUAUUUGCGCUGCUAGGCGUUAGCAACGUAGAAGCGUCAUCCGGCUACGACUUCGGAGACUUCUUUGCCACAGUAUUAGGCCUCGGAAUUGCGGUCAUUGGGAUCCUCGCGUGUUUAGGCAACUACGCGAGACAGAAAGCGAGAAACGAAUUCAUAUAACGCAAUCAUAUACACACGGCAGGUGGAAGCAAGCAAUGCGAAAAGACAA